AAUGGGCGCAAGCCUGAUCCAGCCAUUCCGCGUGCAGGAUGAAGGCCUUCGGGUUGUAAACUGCUUUUGUACGGAACGAAACGGUCUGCCCUAAUACGGCGGGCUAAUGACGGUACCGUAAGAAUAAGCACCGGCUAACUACGUGCCAGCAGCCGCGGUAAUACGUAGGGUGCAAGCGUUAAUCGGAAUUACUGGGCGUAAAGCGUGCGCAGGCGGUUAUAUAAGACAGAUGUGAAAUCCCCGGGCUCAACCUGGGAACUGCAUUUGUGACUGUAUGGCUAGAGUACGGCAGAGGGGGAUGGAAUUCCGCGUGUAGCAGUGAAAUGCGUAGAUAUGCGGAGGAACACCGAUGGCGAAGGCAAUCCCCUGGGCCUGUACUGACGCUCAUGCACGAAAGCGUGGGGAGCAAA
rnacentral:rRNA from 1 species